UACGGAGGGUGCAAGCGUUACCCGGAAUCACUGGGCGUAAAGGGUGCGUAGGCGGAUUCUUAAGUCAGGGGUGAAAUCCCGAGGCUCAACCUCGGAACUGCCUUUGAUACUGGGGAUCUUGAGUCCGGAAGAGGUGAGUGGAACUGCGAGUGUAGAGGUGAAAUUCGUAGAUAUUCGCAAGAACACCGGUGGCGAAGGCGGCUCACUGGUCCGGAACUGACGCUGAGGCACGACAGCGUGGGGAGCAAACAGG
rnacentral:rRNA from 1 species